CCUACGGGUGGCUGCAGUGGGGAAUUUUGGACAAUGGGGGCAACCCUGAUCCAGCCAUGCCGCGUGAGUGAAGAAGGCCUUCGGGUUGUAAAGCUCUUUCGGCCGGGAGGAAAUCGCAUAGGUUAAUACCCUGUGUGGAUGACAGUACCGGAAUAAGAAGCACCGGCUAACUACGUGCCAGCAGCCGCGGUAAUACGUCGGGUGCGUGCGUUGAGCGGAAUUAGUGGGCGUGAUUUGUGCAGAGGGGGGUGAAAUCCCCGGGCUCAACCUGGGAACUGCGCUUGUGACUGGAAGGCUAGAGUAUGGCAGAGGGGGGUGGAAUUCCACGUGUAGCAGUGAAAUGCGUAGAGAUGUGGAGGAACACCGAUGGCGAAGGCAGCCCCCUGGGCCAAUACUGACGCUCAUGCACGAAAGCGUGGGGAGCAAACAGGAUUAGAUACCCUAGUAGUC
rnacentral:rRNA from 1 species